rnacentral:rRNA from 1 species
GAUGAACGCUGGCGGCGUGCCUAAUACAUGCAAGUCGAGCGAACAGACGAGGAGCUUGCUCCUCUGACGUUAGCGGCGGACGGGUGAGUAACACGUGGAUAACCUACCUAUAAGACUGGGAUAACUUCGGGAAACCGGAGCUAAUACCGGAUAAUAUAUUGAACCGCAUGGUUCAAUAGUGAAAGACGGUUUUGCUGUCACUUAUAGAUGGAUCCGCGCCGCAUUAGCUAGUUGGUAAGGUAACGGCUUACCAAGGCAACGAUGCGUAGCCGACCUGAGAGGGUGAUCGGCCACACUGGAACUGAGACAUGGUCCAGACUCCUACGGGAGGCAGCAGUAGGGAAUCUUCCGCAAUGGGCGAAAGCUUGACGGAGCAACGCCGCGUGAGUGAUGAAGGUCUUCGGAUCGUAAAACUCUGUUAUUAGGGAAGAACAAAUGUGUAAGUAACUAUGCACGUCCUGACGGUACCUAAUCAGAAAGCCACGGCUAACUACGUG